CAAAAACAUUGGUAUAGAAAUGGAGGACAGGAAUGAAAUGUGGGGCUGAAAACAGAAGGAAUAAUUUAUUUACAAAGUGUGAUAGAUGUCAUGGCUCUCACUCAUAUUUUUUGUUUUAUUUCUUCUCAGUACAAGGUUCUUCUGACAUCCUGAGAAGUACCAGAGCACUCCAGACCUUGGAGGAAUGAAUAUUCAUGACUGGACAGAGGGCAUGGCUGAUGUUAUAGGAAAGUCUCAACAAAGGACAUUGACCUUUGAACUUGAGACAGACAAGCAUGAUGAUCUUGGAAACUUUAUGUUGAAGAUGGGGAACCGACAGGAUGAAAGGAUUCUGAGUUUCUGUAUCACACUUUUGAGGAGAGGCUUCUGGACUUAAUGAAGAAAGUUUAUCAAAAACUGC
rnacentral:lncRNA from 1 species